rnacentral:rRNA from 1 species
UACGUAGGCAGCAAGCGUUGUUCGGAAUUACUGGGCGUAAAGAGUGUGUAGGCGGUGCUCCAAGUCUGGUGUGAAAUCUCCCGGCUUAACUGGGAGGGUGCAUUAGAAACUGGAAUGCUAGAGGAUGGGAGAGCUAAGCGGAAUUCCUGGUGUAGCGGUGAAAUGCGUAGAUAUCAGGAGGAACACCUGUGGUGUAGACAGCUUACUGGACCAUUUCUGACGCUGAGACACGAAAGCGUGGGUAGCAAACAGG